AGAACGAACGCUGGCGGCAUGCCUAAUACAUGCAAGUCGAACGAACACUUCGGUGUUAGUGGCGCACGGGUGCGUAACGCGUGGGAAUCUGCCCUUGGGUUCGGAAUAACAGUUGGAAACGACUGCUAAUACCGGAUGAUAUCGAAAGAUCAAAGAUUUAUCGCCCAGGGAUGAGCCCGCGUAGGAUUAGCUAGUUGGUGAGGUAAAGGCUCACCAAGGCGACGAUCCUUAGCUGGUCUGAGAGGAUGAUCAGCCACACGUGGGACUGAGACACCGGCCCAGACCU
rnacentral:rRNA from 1 species